CCUAGCGGCGGACGGGUGCGUAACAUGUGGGAAUCUGCCUUUUGGUUCGGAACAACACGGGGAAACCUGUGCUAAUACCGGAUAAGUCCUUACGGAGAAAGUUUUAAUGCCAAAAGAUGAGCCCGCACUUGAUUAGUUAGUUGGUGAGGUAAUGGCUCACCAAGACAAUGAUCAAUAGCUGAUCUGAGAGGGGGAUCCCCCACACUGGUACUGAGACACGGACCAGACUCC
rnacentral:rRNA from 1 species